rnacentral:rRNA from 1 species
CAGUAGCCACGGUAAUACGAAGGGGGCUAGCGUUGUUCGGAGUUACUGGGCGUAAAGCGCACGUAGGCGGAUAUUUAAGUCAGGGGUGAAAUCCCAGAGCUCAACUCUGGAACUGCCUUUGAUACUGGGUAUCUUGAGUAUGGAAGAGGUAAGUGGAAUUCCGAGUGUAGAGGUGAAAUUCGUAGAUAUUCGGAGGAACACCAGUGGCGAAGGCGGCUCACUGGUCCAUUACUGACGCUGAGGUGCGAAAGCGUGGGGAGCAAACAGGAUUAGAUACCCCAGUAGUCCCUGUCUCUUAUAC